rnacentral:rRNA from 1 species
AGAGUUUGAUCAUGGCUCAGGACGAACGCUGGCGGCGUGCCUAACACAUGCAAGUCGAACGAGGUCCAUCCAGUGGCAACACUGGGGACGACCUAGUGGCGAACGGGUGAGUAUCACGUGAGGAACUUGCCCCGGAGACCGGGAUAACUCCCCGAAAGGGGAGCUAAUACCGGAUACCCCCACCGAGUCGCAUGGCUUGGUGAGGAAAUGGAUUCCGCUCCGGGAGAGCCUCGCGGCCUAUCAGCUAGUUGGUGGGGUAACGGCCUACCAAGGCGUCGACGGGUAGCUGGUCUGAGAGGACGAUCAGCCACACUGGGACUGAGACACGGCCCAGACUCCUACGGGAGGCAGCAGUGGGGAAUCUUGCGCAAUGGGCGAAAGCCUGACGCAGCAACGCCGCGUGCGGGAUGAAGGCCUUCGGGUUGUAAACCGCUUUCAGUGGGGACGAAUCAAGACGGUACCCACAGAAGAAGCCCCGGCCAACUACGUGCCAGCAGCCGCGGUAACACGUAGGGGGCAAGCGUUGUCCGGACUCAUUGGGCGUAAAGAGCUCGUAGGCGGCUCAGUAAGUCGGGUGUGAAACCUCCAGGCUCAACCUGGAGACGCCACCUGAUACUGCUGUGGCUAGAGUCCAGUAGGGGAGCGUGGAAUUCCUGGUGUAGCGGUGAAAUGCGCAGAUAUCAGGAGGAACACCAGUGGCGAAAGCGGCGCUCUGGGCUGGAACUGACGCUGAGGAGCGAAAGCGUGGGGAGCGAACAGGAUUAGAUACCCUGGUAGUCCACGCCGUAAACGUUGGGUACUAGGUGUGGGGUCUUAUCAACGGAUUCCGUGCCGAAGCUAACGCAUUAAGUACCCCGCCUGGGGAGUACGGCCGCAAGGCUAAAACUCAAAGGAAUUGACGG